GCGUCUGUGACUGUACAGCUAGAGUGUGUCAGAGGGGGGUGGAAUUCCACGUGUAGCAGUGAAAUGCGUAGAUAUGUGGAGGAACACCAAUGGCGAAGGCAGCCCCCUGGGAUAACACUGACGCUCAUGCACGAAAGCGUGGGGAGCAAACAGAAUUAGAUACCCUGGUAGUCCACGCCCUAAACGAUGCUGACUAGUUGUUGUGAAUUUACAUUCUCAGUAACGUAGCUAACGCGUGAAGUCAGCCGCCUGGGGAGUACGGUCGCAAGAUUAAAACUCAAAGGAAUUGACGGGGACCCGCACAAGCGGUGGAUGAUGUGGAUUAAUUCGAUGCAACGCGAAAAACCUUACCUACCCUUGACAUGUCACUAACGAAGUAGAGAUACAUUAGGUGCCCGUAAGGGAAAGUGAACACAGGUGCUGCAUGGCUGUCGUCAGCUCGUGUCGUGAGAUGUUGGGUUAAGUCCCGCAACGAGCGCAACCCUUGUCUUUAGUUGCUACGCAAGAGCACUCUAAAGAGACUGCCGGUGACAAACCGGAGGAAGGUGGGGAUGACGUCAAGUCCUCAUGGCCCUUAUGGGUAGGGCUUCACACGUCAUACAAUGGUGCGUACAGAGGGUUGCCAACCCGCGAGGGGGAGCUAAUCUCUUAAAACGCAUCGUAGUCCGGAUCGUAGUCUGCAACUCGACUACGUGAAGCUGGAAUCGCUAGUAAUCGCGGAUCAGCAUGUCGCGGUGAAUACGUUCCCGGGUCUUGUACACACCGCCCGUCACACCAUGGGAGUGGGUUUUGCCAGAAGCAGUUAGCCUAACCGUAA
rnacentral:rRNA from 1 species